AUUGAACGCUGGCGGCAGGCCUAACACAUGCAAGUCGAACGAGUGGCGGACGGGUGAGUAAUGUCUGGGACACUGCCUGAUGGAGGGGGAUAACUACUGGACACGGUAGCUAAUACCGCAUACCAUCAGAUGUGCCCAGAUGGGAUGAUCUGGUUGGUGGGGUAAAGGCCCACUAAGUCGACGAUCCGUAGCUGGUCUGAGAGGAUGCCCAGCCACACUGGAACUGAGACACGGGCCAGACUCCUACGGGAGGCAGCAGGUGGGAAUAUUGGACAAUGGGCGAAAGCCUGAUUCAGCCAUGCCGCGUGUGUGAAGAAGGCCUUCGGGUUGUAAAGCACUUUCAGUGGGGAGGCGUUACCCACAGAAGAAGCACCGGCUAACUCCGUGCCAGCAGCCGCGGUAAUUC
rnacentral:rRNA from 1 species